rnacentral:other from 1 species
GUUGUACUGUGACGUUGGUGACUGCCAUCAAGUUUUUUGAUCUAUAACUUGAAGCAAAAGGGAGCCUUACAAUUCUCGUGGCAGUAUACCGGGCAUGUACCCGGAAACUUUAAACGGAGGAACUGGUUCCCACCUGGAUUUUCCAGGUCAAAAACUUAGGUAAAACGGCGUUGCGGUACACAA